GAUGAAGAACGCAGCGAAAUGCGAUAAGUAAUGUGAAUUGCAGAAUUCAGUGAAUCAUCGAAUCUUUGAACACACAUUGCGCCCGCCAGUAUUCUGGCGGGCAUGCCUGUCUGAGCGUCAUUUCAACCCUCAUGCCCCUAGGGCGUGGUGUUGGGGAUCGGCCAAAGCCCGCGAGGGACGGCCGGCCCCUAAAUCUAGUGGCGGACCCGUCGUGGCCUCCUCUGCGAAGUAGUGAUAUUCCGCAUCGGAGAGCGAUGAGCCCCUGCCGUUAAACCCCCAACUUUCCAAGGUUGACCUCAGAUCAGGUAGGAAUACCCGCUGAACUUAAGCAUAUCAAUAAGCGGAGGA
rnacentral:misc_RNA from 1 species